rnacentral:rRNA from 1 species
UACAGAGGUCUCAAGCGUUGUUCGGAUUCAUUGGGCGUAAAGGGUGCGUAGGCGGCGCGGUAAGUCGGGUGUGAAAUCUCGGGGCUUAACUCCGAAACUGCAUUCGAUACUACCGUGCUUGAGGACUGGAGAGGAGACUGGAAUUUACGGUGUAGCGGUGAAAUGCGUAGAUAUCGUAAGGAAGACCAGUGGCGAAAGCGGCUUCCUGGUCCAGCACCGACGUUCAGGCACGAAAGCGUGGGGAGCAAACAGG